UGAAUACUCCCUCCGUUCCGAAUUACUUGUCACAAGUAUGAGUGUAUCUAGAUGUAUUUUAGUUCUAGAUACAUCCAUUUCUGCGACGAGUAAUUUGGAACGGAGGGAGUAGAAC
rfam:Triticum urartu cultivar G1812 contig454696, whole genome shotgun sequence.